AUUGAACGCUGGCGGCAGGCCUAACACAUUCAAGUCGAACGGUAGCACAGAGAGCUUGCUCUCGGGUGACGAGUGGCGGACGGGUGAGUAACGUCUGGGAAACUGCCCGAUGGAGGGGGAUAACUACUGGAAACAGUAGCUAAUACCGCAUAACGUCGCAAGACCAAAGUGGGGGACCUUCGGGCCUCACACCAUCGGAUGUGCCCAGAUGGGAUUAGCUAGUAGGUGGGGUAAUGGCUCACCUAGGCGACGAUCCCUAGCUGGUCUGAGAGGCUGACCAGCCACACUGGAACUGAGACACGGUCCAGACUCCGACGGGAGGCAGCAGUGGGGAAUAUUGCACAAUGGGCGCAAGCCUGAUGCAGCCAUGCCGCGUGUAUGAAGAAGGCCUUCGGGUUGUAAAGUACUUUCAGCGGGGAGGAAGGCGGUGGAGUUAAUAACUUCACCGAUUGACGUUACCCGCAGAAGAAGCACCGGCUAACUUCGUGCCAGCCGCCGCGGUAA
rnacentral:rRNA from 1 species